AAAAUAAUCUGAUAAUCCAGUGUUUUUCAACCACUGUGCCGCGGCGCACUAAUGUACCGUGAGUGAUCGACAGGUGUGCCGUGGAAAUUAUCCAAUUUCACCUACUAUAUUUUCCGGACUAUAAGCUGCUACUAUUUUCCUACAC